rnacentral:rRNA from 1 species
CAGUAGCCGCGGUAAUACGAAGGGGGCUAGCGUUGUUCGGAAUUACUGGGCGUAAAGGGCGCGUAGGCGGUUCGUUAAGACAGAUGUGAAAUCCCCGGGCUUAACCUGGGAACUGCAUUUGUGACUGGCGAGCUAGAGUAUGGCAGAGGGGGGUAGAAUUCCACGUGUAGCAGUGAAAUGCGUAGAGAUGUGGAGGAAUACCGAUGGCGAAGGCAGCCCCCUGGGCCAAUACUGACGCUCAUGCACGAAAGCGUGGGGAGCAAACAGGAUUAGAUACCCCCGUAGUCCCUGUCUCUUAUAC